rnacentral:snoRNA from 1 species
AUGCAUCUCUCUCAUAGACCUGCAUCAGAUACUGUCCCAUUUCCAAGGUUCUCACUACAGAUGCAAGAGAAAUGUAUCACUGCACCUUCUGUCUGACUGUGGCAGCCAAGAUCAAAUUGGGGAAUAUAGUA